UCUAAAGUUUAAUGCGUGACUCAUUGAUGUUGCUGAUGAUCAAUUCUCUAUUAUGAGGCUUCGUUUAAUGAUUAACAAUCUGUUUCUUCUUUAUGGGAACAACUCGAAGAAUAAAAAGAGCACGUACAUUAUGCAUAUACAUGCACAAUGUAAAAGGAAAAAUGAGGAAAAGGAAGCUAUUUGAAUGGCUGUAUAUAUAGAUAAAGCAAAAAGGAAAUAAAUAAAUAUGGAAAAUAGAAAUAUGGAUAUGAAUAACUGAAUAGAUAUCCAGACAUACGGGCAUGCAUAGAAUUAAAUGCAAAGAUCUGUAACAGAUAGCUAGUUCUGUAAAAGAGAGAUAGAUGUGCAUAACGAUAAAAUUGUAAUGGUGAAUAUAUACAUUGAUAAAUGUAUCUAGUCAGAUGUGUAAAUGAUAUAUAUAUAUAUAUAUAUAUAUAUAUAUAUUACAAUUCUAUCGUUAUAUAUAUAUCAUUUACACAUCUGACUAUAUAUAUAUAUAUAUAUAUAUAUAAUUAUUAUUACAAUUCUAUCGUUAUAUAUAUAUAUAUAUAUAUAUAUAUAUAUAUAUAUAUAUAUAUAUAUAUAUAUACACACGUGUGUGUCUGUGUGUGUGUCUGUCUCAGGUGUGAGAGAGACAGAUACAUUUAUAAAUUGAUAGCAAGAUGCGGAUGCUGGGGAAUUAAAAUAUAAAAAGAAGUAGAGGAAAAUUCGAUCAAUUACUGUUAGGUUAUGUAAAUUUUACACCUCUCUUAAUUAAGUAACUGAAAAUAAAUUGAACUAAAGUUAAUAACCGACCGGGUUUUCAUAUAAAAUUUCCAAUUCUGUGAAAAAAUGCAACAACUCAGGAGCGAAUUUAUGGCUAGCCAGCAAUGAAGUGACUACCAUUAUUAUCUCAUAAAUCUGUCACCAUAAUAAAUUUUCCGCUGAGUAUAAAAUAGCUGAACAAAUAUGAUGUCUGCUCGUUUAUAAAUGUAUGCUUACACAUACAGGCACAUAAAUAACAUAUAUAUAUAUAUAUACUUUACAUUUAAUUGGGUGCAGUCAUUGAGCUGCACAUACUCUGCGUGACUAGCGUGUGUUUUCGUAUUUAUUCUAUCGUACUGUACAAAAAUGUUCAACACCUCAGUUUAAAUUUAUCUCUGACUAGUCCCACGCUUUCUCAAGUCCUUCGGUUUGCUAAAAAAAUCGAGCGCCUCACCAUGAGUGGACAAUGUAAGUAUAUAGCAUAUAUAUUCAAAAUAAGUUUUAAUUACAAUUAUAUUGCGAGUUUUAUUGAUCUGUUUAUUACUUUCUUAUGCCCCAGUCUGACGUAAUCCACACCAAAGCAAUAUACUACCACGCUCUACCUCUGCCCAUUCUACCUAAUUUUUACUCAUGUCGGUAACACUGGUAUAGACUCUAAUGUAGGUGUAAUAACUAGAAUUGUUAACUCAAACCUGAAUGCAGUUUUAUAUUUAAGAGAUGAGGAAUUAUCUACAUUAUUUACAUUAUUUACAUUCGACGGAUAUUUGUCCUCAUCUUGUUUGCUGUUAAUACAACGUUUCGGCUGAUAUACCUUCCAGCCUUCUUCAGGUGUCUUGGGGAAAUUUCGAAGCUGGGUUGGAAAUUAGGAAUGAGAACCCAGGUUCGAAAUUUCCCCAAGAAACCUGAAGAAGGCUGGAGGGAAUAUCAGCUGAAACGUUGUGUUAACAACAAACAAGAUGAGGACAAAUUUCCGCCGAAUGUAAAUAAUCAAACCUGAAUGUCUCGUUUAAAGACAUUUCAGUCUGCAGUUGCGUACAAUCUACCAAACAAGGCUGAAUGAACAAGCUGUGUGUGUAUUUACGCGCGCGUGUAUGUGUGUGGUUGAGUAUCUCGCUAGCUAUGUUUUUUAAGAAUACCAUGCGCGGAUCAGUUGCCUCACCUCUUAAGUUAUUCCUUGGGUAAAAAUGUCUGAUAAUCCACCAAUUUUGAUGGCCGCAUUUAAUUACAAAACUACCAUUAUAAAGUGGUCAUAAAUAAAUGUAUAUAUGGAACCAUGAACGAUACUUUUUACAUAGAUAUACGUUUCUCACUGCAAAUAUAAAAUCGAUGAGGAUAUCAAAGACCUUCGACAGCCAAUCUACUAAUGCCAUCAUUUCCUAUUCUAUCCUUUACCUGACAUAUCUCUUCACUUUGCUCUAUCUUCUUUUAAUUGAUAAGUGAACCUAUAAAAUCGAAAUAAUGAAUCAUCUGAUCGAUGAACAAUGCUUUGAUACCGUAAUAAUUUUUUUCAUAAUUUACUCUGUAGGGAGUUUUUCCAAUCAGCUUUGAUACACGCCAUAGGUAUGUAUGCUUAUGUGUAUGUAUAUAAGUAUGUAUGUAUGUAUGUAUGUAUGUAUGUAUGUAUGUAUGUAUGUAUGUAUGUAUGUAUGUAUGUAUGUAUGUAUGUAUGUAUGUAUGUAAAUUAAUCAAAAUUAAAAUAAAAACAUGAUGCCAAGGAUUCAGCGGUACAUAUGUUUCGGGCCUUUAUUAGACGGAUUUAUAACAAUGCAUAAUGUAUGUCUAUGGCCUUCUUCAGCCGCGCACCAACUACUUCCACAAGGACAUGUAUUACAUCAAAAAUUCUUGGUUGGGGAUGCAAAUCCUCUCAUUCGCGUACGACAUAAUGCGGCAACAGCAUAAAAAUGAAGCGUCCAUCUCGUUCUUCUCUCAAUGUAGAAUGAGGAAGCUUGGAUGUUGAAGUAAUGUAAAUAUGUAAUGUAUGUAUGUAUGUAUGUAUGUAUGUAUGUAUGUAUGUAUGUAUGCAUGCAUGUAUAUACGCGCGCGCGCGCACACACGCGUGUCAAUAUUUUGAAAUGUUUUAACUGAAGAAGGUCUUACGUGAUGGAUGCAUUUCCAUAUAUAUAUCACACAAGCUGAAACGUAUGAAUUAAAUGAUUUCAAAAUAUCACUAUUCAGUUUAAUUUCACUACUACCACCGAUCCGGCUCGAUCAGCGUACCCAAUCCACACAUUUUAACAAAGAUUUGGAGUAGUUUGCUAUGUUUCAAGCGAAUCGAAAUGCUGGCACUAUGCACUGCUUCUUAGUAUAAGUGCCCCAGCAUGGCCACAGCCUUAGGGCUGAAACACAUAACAGAAUAACUGAAUAUAUAUAUAUAUAUAUAUAUAUAUAUAUAUAUAUAUAUAUAUAUCUGUGAGUUCUUGAUGUAUGUAUAUGGGUAUAUAUAUAUAUAUAUAUAUAUAUAUAUAUAUAUAUAUAUAUAUAUAUACAUAUAUAUUUACACACACAGAUGACUACGAAAGCUGCGAAGAUGGCACAGUAGGAAGUUCAGGUCUAAUGAUCUUGUUAGCUUGAGAUAGACUUUAUAUAAGGCACACACACUUAUACACACAUUUGUAAAUACAUGCACACACUCACAUAUGUAUGUAUAUGACAUACAAGUAUUUAUUUGCAUAUAUUUACAGUAAGAGAAAGAAGUCAGAGUAGCAAGGGGAAUAUAUUUGGACAAGUAUGAAUAAGAGUAUAUUAAAAAGACAAAUUCUUGCUUUUUAAAAAAGCUAUCUUCGCUUACAAAGUGUAGAUCAUUCACUUCGUGGGAUUGUGUGUGUGUGUGUGUGUGCAUGUGCGUAUGUGUGUAUUUAUGUAUGUAUAUAUACAUACACACACACACACACAUAUAUAUAUAUAUAUAUAUAUAUAUAUAUAUAUAUAUACAUAUAAAAUAAGAGGGGAUUAGUAAAUCCGAGCUGGUUCUUCAGUAAUCUCGAGAUUACUGGCCAGUACAGUGUAGAAUAAUAGAUGGUUUACCUUAAAGAAAAUGUCCAUACGAAUUAAAAUUUCAUAGCUAGCAAGUUAGACCCAGAGUAAGAUAUAUUAAGUCAAAGACAGGAAUUUAUAGUAUUGUAUUAAAUACUUUAGUUACGUUCGUUUCAACAUUACAUAGAAUUAAAAUUUUGAUUUCAAAUUUUGGCACAAGGCCUGCAAUUUGGGGGAAGUGUGUAAAUCGAUUACUUCGGCCCCUAAAGUUGAACUGGUACUUAUUGUGUUGAUUCCGAAAAGCACAGUCAACGUCGGUGGAAUGUGAAAGUAGAACGUAGAGACACAAAGUGUGGCUAAGCAUUUUGUCUGGCGCGGUAACGAUUCUGCCAGCUCGCCAAAUUUAAACAUUAAUUCCAAAUUUUGGCACAAGGCCAAUAAAUUCGAGUGGGGGUGGGGGUAAAUCGAUUACAUCUAUCCGAGUGUUCAACUGGUACUCAUUUUAUCGAGCUAGAAAGGAUGAAAGAUAAAGUCGACCACAACGGAAUUUGAGAGCAGAACGUAAAUACGGCGAAAUGGCGCUAAGCCCAGCGUGCUAACAAUUCUGCCAGCUGGCAGAAUGAAUUUAUAAUAAAGGAAUGAUAUGUAUAGUAUUACAACAUUUUCAUGUUAUACUUUCAAAGCUUUGUCUGAGGAAUUGCACAUGGUUUAUAUGUCUAAAUAUCAAAAUUUCAUUAAUUAUGUAUAUUUUAUUAAUAUUUAUAGUCAUGUAAUGUUUUUUUCUAUGUAGUACAAUGGAAUUAAAUGUAAUGCCAUGGAUUUCUGUUUUCGACUAAAUACACAUGAAUAUACACACAUAUAUAUAUACAUACGUACAUACAUAUAUACGUACAUACAUAUAUACGUACAUACAUACAUACAUUUUCACCACAUACAUAAAAUACAUCCAUAUAUUUACACACAAUACAUAUACCUCAUUAGAUAAAAUGUGUGUAUUAUACGUGUGUUAAAUAUUACUAUUUAUGUAAUGUGUUUUAUAUUAUAGAUAUUUAUUUGGCGAUCGAUUUAGUAUUGUAAUUACUUUCUGUUUUAUUGUCUUUUUAGCAAUACUGUACCACGAUUAGAUUAUAUAUGCACGCCCAUUGUCACCCGUAUCAAUAAAUAUGCUGCUCUACUUCCACUGACAUUCAUGUACAGCUGUGUACAUGUGUUUAUGUAAAGUUCAAGAUGCCAGAGUUC
rnacentral:lncRNA from 1 species